UAGGGAAUAUUGCAAAAUGGGCGAAAGCCCGAUGCAGCAACGCCGCGUGGGCGAUGAAGGCCUUCGGGUCGUAAAGCCCUUUUUGAGGGGAUGAGGAAGGACAGUACCCUCAGAAUAAGCCUCGGCUAACUACGUGCCAGCAGCCGCGGUAAAACGUAGGAGGCGAGCGUUAUCCGGAUUUACUGGGCGUAAAGCGCGUGCAGGCGGAUUGGAGAGUUGGAUGUGAAAGCUCCCGGCUUAACUGGGAGAGGUCGUUCAAUACUUCCAGUCUUGAGUGCAGUAGAGGGAAGUGGAAUACCGGGUGUAGUGGUGAAAUGCGUAGAUAUCCGGAGGAACACCAGUGGCGAAAGCGGCUUCCUGGACUGUAACUGACGCUCAGACGCGAAAGCUAGGGUAGCAAACG
rnacentral:rRNA from 1 species